CCUACGGGUGGCAGCAGUCGAGAAUCAUUCACAAUGGGGGAAACCCUGAUGGUGCGACGCCGCGUGGGGGAAUGAAGGUCUUCGGAUUGUAAACCCCUGUCACGUGGGAGCAAAUUAAAAAGAUAGUACCACAAGAGGAAGAGACGGCUAACUCUGUGCCAACAGCCGCGGUAAUACAGAGGUGUCAAGCGUUGUUCGGAAUCACUGGGCGUAAAGCGUGCGUAGGCUGUUUCGUAAGUCCUGUGGGAAAAGUGCGGGCUCAACCCGCGGACGGCACAUGAUACUGCGAGACUAGAGUAAUGGAGAGGGAGCCGGAAUUCUCGGUGUAGCAGUGAAAUGCGUAGAUAUCGAGAGGAACACUCGUGGCGAAGGCGGGUUCCUGGACAUUAACUGACGCUGAGGCACGAAGGCCAGGGGAGCGAAAGGGAUUAGAUACCCUUGUAGUC
rnacentral:rRNA from 1 species